rnacentral:rRNA from 1 species
AUUGAACGCUGGCGGCAGGCUUAACACAUGCAAGUCGAGCGGGGGAGGUUGCUUCGGUAACUGACCUAGCGGCGGACGGGUGAGUAAUGCUUAGGAAUCUGCCUAUUAGUGGGGGACAACAUUCCGAAAGGGAUGCUAAUACCGCAUACGCCCUACGGGGGAAAGCAGGGGAUCUUCGGACCUUGCGCUAAUAGAUGAGCCUAAGUCGGAUUAGCUAGUUGGUGGGGUAAAGGCCUACCAAGGCGACGAUCUGUAGCGGGUCUGAGAGGAUGAUCCGCCACACUGGGACUGAGACACGGCCCAGACUCCUACGGGAGGCAGCAGUGGGGAAUAUUGGACAAUGGGCGGAAGCCUGAUCCAGCCAUGCCGCGUGUGUGAAGAAGGCCUUAUGGUUGUAAAGCACUUUAAGCGAGGAGGAGGCUACUUUAGUUAAUACCUAGAGAUAGUGGACGUUACUCGCAGAAUAAGCACCGGCUAACUCUGUGCCAGCCGCCGCAGUAAGAC